CAAGUGUAGCACCAUUGUUGAAAGGAAAUUUUCGUAGUAUGGUACUUUAAGCGGUUGUUUUUUUAAUUUUCCGGGGGUUUUUAUAAUAAAUAAGAAAACCGUGAAAAACGUAGAAAAAACGGAAAAAUCACCGAAAUUAAUUUUUUUCGAAUCGUAAACAUUACGGCCUUUCAAAACACAUUUAACUGAAUUCCGCUCAAAAUUGUUUUUCGUAAGAAAUGGGUAAUCGUUGCGUACAGAUGUACAUUAAAUUUCCCCUCUACAUUUCCUACUUCUCAUUUAUAACAGAGAAACCGGACAUACUUCGUGCGGAGUAUUCUAGUACUCUAGGUGUUUAGGAAGGUCAUUUUCAUUAAGUUAUCUUAAUAAUAUCCACCAGAAAAAUGGAAAAAACGUACAUGUAAUAACUAUGGUUCGAUUUUAUUUUUCUCGUUGAAAUUCAGAUAAAAAUAUUUGAAAAACACGAUAUUUUCAUAAACUACUCAUCUUUACGUGGUUAAAUUUUCAACAUAUUCGAGUGAUUAUUGAGCUAUUCAUAUGACAUGGUAUUUGAUAAUUUC